AAAUAUAAAACACGCGCGAGUUACCGCCUCAGCACAUUCCAUCGGCGGUCCCCCACCUAAGCCCCUACGUUUGGCAAGCAGCUAGCAACAAAGUCGCCAACCAAACAAACACCACCAAACGACCACUGCUGAGUCCAAGCCCCAGAUAGGCAUCCGGUCCAAUUACAGAUCCAUUCCGCUAGGUCAGCACAUUCAAACACCUAACUUUUAAUUUGGUCGGGAUCUUGUCGGAGACAAUCAUCAAAGGAACCUACUUAUUGAUAACUGGCGCAGACGGUAGCUUUCGUCAAAGAACGGAUUUAACCAAGGACACAGGAAGGAUCCGAGACGGCGAAAGAAAGCAGAAGGAAGGACAGAUGUUCUGGAUAACGUUUAGCAUUAUUAUAACUCCAUUACACCACACGGAAGCUCGUUGAACCACGACACACUACCAACAAACAGAAGAUAACCUAUAUAACUAAAACGAUAAAAUAAGUACAUACAUGUCGGAGAUGUAUAAGAAGAAAGAAAAUGUAAAGGAAACUGUAAAGCAUUAAGAAAGAGAAAGAAUAAAGAAUAAAAUAAACUAGUCAUUAGGUUAUUUGUGGUUCCUUUUAAUUGCACAAUUGCUGAG